GAUGAAGAACGUAGCGAAAUGCGAUACUUGGUGUGAAUUGCAGAAUCCCGUGAACCAUCGAGUCUUUGAACGCAAGUUGCGCCCGAAGCCUCGGCUAAGGGCACGUCUGCCUGGGCGUCACGCAUCGCGUCUCCCCCAAACCGCCAAGGCGGAGGGGAAGGAAGAUGGCUUCCCGUGCCUCACCCGGGCGCGGUUGGCCUAAAUUUGGAGCCCGCGGCACUUAGCUCUCGCGGCGAUAGGUGGUGAACAAGGCCUUGGCCGUGCAAACAACCCGCUGCGAAGCUCUAUGUCACGUGCGCUCGUCGGACCCUUUGAAGUUGCCUUUGGUGACUUAAAACCUUUGCGACCCCAGGUCAGGCGGGGCUACCUGCUGAAUUUAAGCAUAUCAAUAAGCGGAGGA
rnacentral:misc_RNA from 1 species